CCUACGGGAGGCAGCAGUGGAGAAUAUUGGACAAUGGGCGCAAGCCUGAUCCAGCCAUACCGCGUGGGUGAAGAAGGCCUUCGGGUUGUAAAGCCCUUUUGUUGGGAAAGAAAUCCAGCUGGCUAAUACCCGGUUGGGAUGACGGUACCCAAAGAAUAAGCACCGGCUAACUUCGUGCCAGCAGCCGCGGUAAUACGAAGGGUGCAAGCGUUAUUCGGAAUUACUGGGCGUAAAGCGUGCGUAGGUGGUCGUUGAGGACAGCUAGGAAAGACCUGGGCUCAACCUGGGAACUGCAGUGGAUACUGGGCGACUAGAGCGCGGUAGAGGGUAGCGGAAUUGCUGGUGUAGCAGUUAAAUGCGUAGAGAUCAGGAGGAACAGCCAUGGCGAAGGCAGCUACCUGGACCAACACUGACACUGAGGCACGAAAGCGUGGGGAGCAAACAGGAUUCGAUACCCCUGUAGUC
rnacentral:rRNA from 1 species